UCCAGGGUCAGCUAGCUUGGAGCAAAUCACACCUCUUGGCUGAGCCAAUCAGAAGCUGUUCUAUAACUACAUCAUCUAAUGCAUCUCCCUGAACCAAUCAUAAUGUCCCACAUGACCACUGAGGCGUGGUUAUCAAGUGUUGGUCAAUUAAAAAAAUACAGCUGUUUUGAUGAGCCAUUUCGAAAUAACCUUUCGCAGAAUGGAUUGGUUCAGUGGUUCUCAAACUUUUUUUUUUUUCUGCGGACCACUUGAAAAUUGCUGAGGGUUUUGGCGGACCACUUAGGGAUCUUUCCAAAUGUUGUUUGUACUGUUAGCUAACUAGUGUAAAACUAACCAUUGUAAAUAUAAAAAAAAAAAUUUAAUAAUAAACUUUUUUUGUUUUAAUGCGAUGGAUGUGCCCUCUCUCUCCUGCUGAGGCAGCCCCCGACCUAGGGCUGCAAAGGAGGGGGGUCUCUCCCCCACCACAGCAGCCACAGAGCUGAGGUUGGGAAGGAGAGCCAUCUCUUCCUGGCAGCCGCAGCCUUGGAGGUGGAGAAAGUCUUUCUCUGGCCGCCACAGUCCUGCACAUCCCAAAUUCCCCUCACCCCCUCUUCUCACCCCACUGCUCCCUUCCACCUACCUCCUAUUCCCCCGAAGGGCACCACCUCACCUUACAUGUGCAUCUUCUCCAGGAUGCCUGCGUGGCUCCACUAAUUAGGUGUGCGGUCUCCCAGGUGCUCACCUUAGAGGGAACUAUCCACUGACCACCUGAAUGAAGCUCACGGACCACUGGUGGUCCACGGACCACAGUUUGAGAACCUCUGGAUUAGUCUGCAAAACUCUAGUCAAUGAUUGUCUGACCAGUGUGUAUAAAACCAUGCUUUUUUGCACGGGGUUUUAAAUUGAGAACCUAUAGAUAGGAAUCAUGUUUUUACAAGAUGCCUACAGACACCAAGAAGCUAGAAUUGUCUUUGAAUGCACCUGCAUGUAUUCGGAAGAGACAACCUGUUUACACUUAUUUUGCUAAAGAGGAAUCACCAAUACCGAAUCCCAUGUUCCAUCCAGAAUUUGAACUGAAGAAUCAGGGAGACUUUAUGGAGUUGUCACCGGUUGUAAAUGAGGAAAAAGAUGUAAAGGACGGGGCACAGAGAGAUUUGUUGCCUGUUAUGGAGCAGGCAGACUCGAGAGCAGAGGUAAGAAGGGUCUGUAUUAUUUUAUAACAAAUUGUUGAAAAAUUAUAAGAGGUUAAAUAUUUAUAUUUUUUAUAGGCAGGAGAGGAAGAAAAGCCUUAUAUACGUGGACAGAGCGGCUGUGGAAUUGUCAGAGGCUAGUGAGGCUCAGAGUCAGGCAGUAACUGAUGAAUCAUGGGCAGAUGGCGACAUUGUUAUGAUAACCAAGCCAGGACCAUACAGGAUCACAACCCAAUUGUGUAGCAAGUGGCCAACAGCUUCAGAACUAUCUAAGCCAGAAGCACAUGACGAGAUACUUCAGGAUGAACAGGAUAAAGAGAACCAGCCUUUGGGAAGGAUAAACCUGAUAUGCACAUGCUCCUUUUGCAUGAAGCAAGAUUUAAAAAAAAAAAUACUGUAAAAAGUACAGUAGAACCUCAGAGUUAUGAACACCUUGGGAAUGGAGGUUGUUCGGAACUCUGAAAUGUUCGUAACUCAGAACAAAACUUUAUGGUUCUUUCAAAAGUUUACAGAUGAACAUUGAGUUAAUACAGCUUUGAAACAUUACUAUGCAGAAGAAAUAUACUGCUUUCCCUUUAUUUCUUUUUAGUAGUUUACACAACACAGUACUGAACUGUAUUUGCUUUUUCGGUGGGAGGGGUGCUCCCCUGUUUGCUGCUGCUGCCUGAUUGCAUACUUCCACUUCCAAAUGAGGUGUGUGGUUGACUGGUCAGUUUGUAACUCUUGUGUUUGUAACUCUGAAGUUCUACUGUAAAGUGGUUGACCAACAGAGCUGUAAAGACUGUUGUUAGGGCUGUUGUAGUAAAAAUCCUUUACCUUUGCUUGAAAGGACAGCAUUUAGAUAACUGUGAAACUUGUGUGAUAAAUUAAACCAGUCAGUGCUGCCACAAUUGUGUACUUUGGGGAUGCUCGGAAACAUUUCACCAGAUUGGAUGCAUUUCUUCGGAACUGAAUGUGGCACAGAUCCUAAGUAUAAUUAUGAGCGAAAGCUACAGACUCAAAGGGCUUAACUUGACCACUGAACCAUAACUGAAGUUGUCAAAAUGAUAAAGGGGGUAGAAGAGCCACCAUAUCCGUUGUCACUGCUGAUAGGCAUUGGAAAUAAGGUGCCAGCAAAAAUUGGCCAGAUGGUGUGUCAGAGGGUUUGUAAAAUAGAUUAUAAAACCUUUUACAUGACAAAACCUCAUCUUAAAGAGUAAAAAAAUUGAAACUGAAUAUUGAUUAAGAUGUACAUGGCCCACAGUCCGAAACAAAUGUAAAAUACAAAUAUGUAUAAUUGCUUCACAUAUUACUGCUUUUAAGUAUUAAUGUAAAAUAUGGUGCAUUGCUCUAUAUUAUAUAAAAAACAAACCAA